UCCCAGACUCCUACGGGAGGCAGCAGUGGGGGAUAUUGCACAAUGGGGGGAACCCUGAUGCAGCGACGCCGCGUGGGUGAAGGAGUGCUUCGGCAUGUAAAGCCCUAUCGGCAGGGAAGAAGGAGGACGAUACCUGACUAAGAAGCCCCGGCUAACUACGUGCCAGCAGCCGCGGUAAUACGUAGGGGGCAAGCGUUAUCCGGAUUUACUGGGGGUAAAGGGGGCGCAGACGGCAGCGCAAGCCAGGAGUGAAAGCCCGGGGCCCAACCCCGGGACUGCUCUUGGAACUGCGCGGCUGGAGUGCAGGAGGGGCAGGCGGAAUUCCUGGUGUAGCGGUGAAAUGCGUAGAUAUCAGGAGGAACACCGGUGGCGAAGGCGGCCUGCUGGACUGCGACUGACGUUGAGGCCCGAAAGCGUGGGUAGCAAACAGGAUUAGAUACCCGCGUAGU
rnacentral:rRNA from 1 species